UUCCGGUUGAUCCUGCCGGAGGUCACUGCUAUCGGGGUUCGAUUAAGCCAUGCGAGUCGAGAGGGUUCAGACCCUCGGCGGACUGCUCAGUAACACGUGGAUAAUCUGCCCUAUGGUGGAGGAUAACCCCGGGAAACUGGGGAUAAUACUCCAUAAGUCAGGAGUACUGGAAUGUCUCCUAACUGAAAGUUUCGGCGCCAUAGGAUGAAUCUGCGGCCGAUUAGGUAGUUGUUGGGGUAACGGCCCAACAAGCCCGUAAUCGGUACGGGUUGUGGGAGCAAGAGCCCGGAGAUGGAAUCUGAGACACGAUUCCAGGCCCUACGGGGCGCAGCAGGCGCGAAAACUUUACAAUGCAGGAAACUGUGAUAAGGGAACCCCGAGUGCCCGUACACGCGGGCUGUCCCGGUGUUUAAAACACAUCGGAAGAAAGGGCCGGACAAGACCGGUGCCAGCCGCCGCGGUAAUACCGGCGGCUCGAGUGGUGACCACUUUUAUUGGGCUUAAAGCGUUCGUAGCUUGAUUUUUAAGUCUCUUGGGAAAUCUCACGGCUUAACUGUGAGGCGUCUAAGAGAUACUGGGAAUCUAGGGACCGGGAGAGGUAAGAGGUACUUCAGGGGUAGAAGUGAAAUUCUGUAAUCCUUGAGGGACCACCGAUGGCGAAGGCAUCUUACCGGAACGGCUUCGACAGUGAGGAACGAAAGCUGGGGGAGCGAACGGGAUCAGAUACCCCGGUAGUCCCAGCCGUAAACUAUGCGCGUUAGGUGUGCCUGUAACUACGAGUUACCGGGGUGCCGAAGUGAAAACGUGAAACGUGCCGCCUGGGAAGUACGGUCGCAAGGCUGAAACUUAAAGGAAUUGGCGGGGGAGCACCACAACGGGUGGAGCCUGCGGUUUAAUUGGAUUCAACGCCGGA
rnacentral:rRNA from 1 species